GCAUUAACUCACUGGUAGAGUAUCUGUCUUGCAUGCAAGAGGUCCCAGGUUUAAACCCUGGCAGCUCCA